rnacentral:rRNA from 1 species
GGCUCAGGAUGAACGCUGGCGGCGUGCCUUAAGCAUGCAAGUCGAACGGAGAUUGUGUCUAGCACAAAGUUAAUUAUCUCUUGUUCCCUUGGUAUGCGGCACUUUUUGUCAGUUAAUGACUAAUUUUUGGCGUAUAUCAAGUGGAGCAAUGAUUCUAAUUAAUUUCGUGCUAGGCAUGAAAUCAGUGGCGGACGGGUGAGUAUAAGCAAGGAACGUACCCUUUAUUGUGACAUAGCUCGUCGAAAGACGGGGUAAUAUCGCAUGACCCUUUACGGGGAAAGAGGUUAACCCCUCGAUAAUGGAGCGGCCUUGUUCCUAUCAGCUAGUUGGUGGGGUAAUAGCCUACCAAGGCUUUGACGGGUAGGGGGUGUGAGAGCAUGACCCCCCACAAUGGCACUGAGAAACGGGCCAUACAUCUACGGAUGGCAGCAACUGGGAAUCGUUGGCAAUGGGCGAAAGCCUGACCACGCGACGCCGCGUGAGGGAUGAAGUAUUUCGGUAUGUAAACCUCUUUUACGGGACUAUCAUGGUUCCGAGAAUAAGCACCUACAAACUACGUGCCAGCAGUCGCGGUAAUACGUAGGGUGCAAGCGUUAUCCGGAUUUACUGGGCGUAAAGGGUCGUGUAGGUGGUUUUCCGCAUCGAACCUGAAAGCCCGAGGCUUAACCUCGGCGUUGGGUUCGAGAUGGGGAGACUUGAGGAUUGCAGAGGUAAGGGGAACUCAUGGUGGAGCAGUGAAAUGCGUUGAUAUCAUGAGGAACACCAAAGGCGAAGGCACCUUACUGGGCAAUAUCUGACACUCAGACACGAAAGCUAGGGGAGCGAAGCAGAUUAGAUACCUGCGUAGUCCUAGCCCUAAACGCAUGUCUGCUAGAUGGUCUAUCGUAAGACGGACUGUCGUAAGCUAACGCGUUAAGCAGACCGCCUGGGGAGUACGAUC